rnacentral:rRNA from 1 species
CCUACGGGAGGCAGCAGUAGGGAAUUUUUCACAAUGGGCGAAAGCCUGAUGGAGCAACGCCGCGUGCAGGAUGAAGGCCUUCGGGUUGUAAACUGCUUUUAUAAGCGAGAAAUAUGAUGGUAACUUAUGAAUAAGGAUCGGCUAACUACGUGCCAGCAGCCGCGGUCAUACGUAGGAUCCGAGCAUUAUCCGGAGUGACUGGGUGUAAAGAGUUGCGUAGGUGGCAUAAUAAGUAGCUAGUGAAAUCUGGUGGCUCAACCAUUCAGACUAUUAGCUAAACUGUUAAGCUCGAGACCGUUAGGGGUAACUGGAAUUUCUGGUGUAGGAGUGAAAUCCGUAGAUAUUAGAAGGAACACCAAUAGCGUAGGCAGGUUGCUGGGACGGUUCUGACACUAAGGCACGAAAGCGUAGGGAGCAAACGGGAUUAGAUACCCUUGUAGUC